UACGAAGGGGCUAGCGUUGCUCGGAAUCACUGGGCGUAAAGCGCACGUAGGCGGAUUGCUAAGUCAGGGGUGAAAUCCUGGAGCUCAACUCCAGAACUGCCUUUGAUACUGGCGACCUUGAGUCCGGGAGAGGUGAGUGGAACUGCGAGUGUAGAGGUGAAAUUCGUAGAUAUUCGCAAGAACACCAGUGGCGAAGGCGGCUCACUGGCCCGGUACUGACGCUGAGGUGCGAAAAGCGUGGGGAGCAAACAGGG
rnacentral:rRNA from 1 species